UGGUGUCGAUCGACACUAGUU
rnacentral:snRNA from 1 species